UACGGAGGGUGCAAACGUUGCUCGGAAUCAUUGGGCGUAAAGCGCACGUAGGUGGCCUGUUAAGUCGGGUGUGAAAUCCCUGGGCUCAACCCAGGAAGUGCACUCGAAACUGGCAGGCUUGAGUACUGAAGAGGGUCGCGGAAUUCCCGGUGUAGAGGUGAAAUUCGUAGAUAUCGGGAGGAACACCAGUGGCGAAGGCGGCUACCUGGCCCAUUCUUGACGCUGAGGCGCGAAAGCUAGGGGAGCAAACGGG
rnacentral:rRNA from 1 species